rnacentral:rRNA from 1 species
CGAGGACGCUUCCUUCGGGAAGCGAGCGUACACAGGUGCUGCAUGGCUGUCGUCAGUUCGUGUCGUGAGAUGUUGGGUUAAGUCCCGUAACGAGCGCAACCCUUGUCCUUAGUUACCAGCACGUUAUGGUGGGCACUCUAAGGAGACUGCCGGUGACAAACCGGAGGAAGGUGGGGAUGACGUCAAGUCAUCAUGGCCCUUACGGCCUGGGCUACACACGUGCUACAAUGGUCGGUACAAAGGGUUGCCAAGCCGCGAGGUGGAGCUAAUCCCAUAAAACCGAUCGUAGUCCGGAUCGCAGUCUGCAACUCGACUGCGUGAAGUCGGAAUCGCUAGUAAUCGUGAAUCAGAAUGUCACGGUGAAUACGUUCCCGGGCCUU